CUGAGUGUCACUAUCGGAUCUAUGAUACCUUCUUGCUUUUCUGAAAUCAAAUAAAAGAGCCAUAAACUCUCAUCUCAACUGUUGUGUUAGGAAGGAGGACGGGAAUGGUAAAUGCUGACGCUACAGGCGGCAGUCUGUGCCUCAGAGAGAAAAUUUAUCCCAACCUUGCUGGGGGCCUUGACGCCCAUCUUCCUCCAGAGCACCCCGACAGUCACCCCGCCCUCUGGUGUCCUCCCACCCCGAGCCCGAUCUUCCCCCUUCACGCCUGCCCCGGGCCAAUAGCCUCCUAACUGCGUCCUCUCUGAUUGCGUGUGUCGUGCUCAUUACGCCCUAUCCGUCGUUUCUUCGCUCCACAAACGUUUACUGAGCGCCUUCAACUUGCCAGGCACUAAUUAGACUAGCGCAGAGAAACGGGGAUAAGUACUGAUGAGGGUCCCAGCCCUCAGCGAUCGGAUUUCAGAGGGGGAGAUAAAGGACUGCCCAGAAGGGUGGUGAGUGGAGUAGUUGAUAUAAACAACGAGGUGCGAUGAAAUACACAGGAGGGCUGCUAAUCACAUAUGGGGUGGGUGCCGAGGGCCCUUAAUUAAGGGAGGCUUCCUGGACGGGUGACACCCAAGCGGAGUCCUGACGACCCGCGUCAGAAGUAGUCAGGCGAGGAGGAGGGUAAAGGAAUCCACGUCCCAAGCAGAGAAGCAGCUUUCCCUACACAGCACAGGACACGGUCCGCGCACAGAAGCCGCAGGAGACGCAGGCACAGGGGCUGGGGAGAAUCCUUGCUGGGCCCUCGCCGUCCAUGCGCCGCCUCCCUCUGCCCGGUGUCUGGUGUCAGCCUCCUGCCUGGCAGAGGAACUCCAGCCCCUGCUCCCCGAAGCUCCUCCAGGCCUUCUGCUUCCCUGACUCGGAAUGGGCCCGCUGUCCAGUGGGUACAAGGCUGGUCUCCCCGCCCACUGGUGACGACGUAAAGAUCCAGCUCAGCCUGGUUUCCCCUGGUGAUGAUAUCUUGCGACUCGUCUUUCUCCAGGAAAACAGGGACCGCUCUCCGCCUACAGAUGGAGUCUCACUCUGUCGCCCAGGCUGGAGUGUAGUAGCGCAAUCUUGGCUCACUGCAACCUCGGACUCCCAGGUUCAAGAGAUUCUCCUGCAUCAGCCUCCCAAGUAGCUGGGACUACAGAUCUCUUCAACUACCUGUGAAAACUGAUGUGAUGAAAAGGGGAAUUUGAAGGAGCCAUUCCAGAAGACAGGGCGAAAACUGAAGUGCAAUCAGGGCCAAGAAAAACAGAAAUAGCAGGACCUGGAGUUGCAUAGGUUGAAUAGUUGAAUAGGCUGCUCUCCUCAGCUGGCAGGAAACCUGGCAGCCUCCUGGUGCCCAAGGACUGAAAACCUUAGAAGCACCUGGAGUUGGCAGCCUUGGCAUGGUCAGGUUGGCACCUCUGGAGGUGCCCAGGCUUCCCUGGCAGCAUUGUGAGCAGUGGAUGGUGUUGAAGGGCAGCCAGAGGAGGAAUGGAACACAUGCUCCUUGCUAACCACACGGACAAGGCCACGUUCACAGGUACACAAAGGACGGGGGUGGAAGGCCACCUUCGAUGGGUGCAUCCUCCACGAUGACCUGCUAACAAAGGUGCAUGGAUUUCAGAGUCUGAUUGGCCUACAACAGCAUUUGGCUUGUGGAGACAGUGGUUCCCUGAUGAAAAACUGCCAUGAUGUAAGGAAGAGCCUGUCAGAGCGAGGCUGGGGUGCUGCGUGUUGGGGAGGUGGAGGUGUGGCUUCCCGGGAGAAGCUCCACCCGCUGGCUGAGUCUGGCACAUAAACCAGUCUGUGAGGGGAUGGAUGUGGGUGUAAUGGGGGCAAUUACAGUAGGAAGGAGCCCACGUGGAGCCUGCAUUCUCUGGGACAGGGCAUUACUGCAUUCUCUGGGACAGGCUAAGGCCCAGAUCCUACCUUCCCAGGUGGCUGGAUGGGUCAUAGAUGUAUGAACCGGUCCCCUCAUUUUCUGAUUGCCCUGUGCUUAACGUUUCUGUACCUUUACUGAGGCUCUUUCCUCCAACUCCAGUGCCCAGACCCCCCUUCUCCUGAACAUGAAUGCCUGUCCAUGGAAAUUCGAGUCUCUCUCUCUCACCCAGGCUGGAGUGCAGUGAUGCAAUCUCAACUCACUGCAACCUCUGCCUCCCAGGUUCAAGUGAUUCUUGUGCCUCAGCCUCUGGAGUAUCUAGGAUCACAGGUGCGUGCCACCAUGUCUGGCUAAUGUUUUGUAUUUAUAGUAGAGAUGGGUUUCGACAUAUUGGCCAGGCUGGUCUUGAUCUCCUGGCCUCAAAGUGAUCUACCCACCUGGGCCUCCCAAAUUGCUGGGAUUACAGUUGUGAGCCACCACACCCAGCCUGUCCCUGAAAUUCUAAUGAAAUGUGCGAUAAAGUUGUUUUGUUUUUCUUUUUGUUUUCCCUUCUUGGCAAAGCCUGGUGUUUCUAUUUUAGUGGAUUUGCCUGGCACUGAGGACUGCUAUGGUGGUCUUCAGAGGCUCCUGGUAUUGACUGCUUGUGAAACCGCUUUUGCAAAAUUAUGACUGAGACAGUGAAAGAGAUCUAACUUAACCGACCCAAUCUUGCUUCUAACCUCCAAAUUGUCCUUAUUCAUUCCUGAGCAUAGCCUGAACUAACUUUGGGAGAAGCUUAGUUUAUAUUUUAUUUUAUAGUUUAAAACAAAGAUGUUAACAGCCCUUUCCCAAGGCAGACUUCCUUCUUGCCUGGGGACUAGGUUGCCUUUGGAGGACUAACAUUAGCCACGAGAUUAGAAAUUAUGGGCUGGGCCUCGUGGCUCACCCCUGUAAUCCCAGCACUUUGGGAGGCCACGGCAGGUAGAUCACCUGAGGUCAGGAGUUCAAGACCAGCCUGGCCAACGUGGUGAAACCCCAUCUCUACUAAAGAAUACAAAAAUUAGCCGGUUAUGGUGGCACAUGCCUAUACUGCCAGCUACUUGGGAAGCUGAGGUGGGAGGAUCGCUUGAACCUGGGAGGCGGCGUGGAGGUUGCAGUGAGCCAGGAUCUUGCCACUGCACUCCAGCUUGGGCGACAGAGUGAGACUCUGUCUCAAAAAAAAAAAGUUUAGAAAUUAUGCUUUAGGAGUCAUGCAGCUGGAGGCUACAAGAUUCUGACCCUCCCUAAACUGCUCCUAAGAUCAGUGCUUGAGAUAUUUUGCAGACCCUGCACUUGAUGGAUCAGCUGGCACCACCCAGACUGAUUAACUGGCUCAUGUGAUCUUGUGGUCCCCACCCAGGAACUUAAUCAGCACAAGGAGACAGCUUCAACUCCCUAUGAUUUCAUCCCUGACCAAUCAGCACUCCUGGGCUCACUGGCUUCCCCCUACCCACCAAGUUGUCCUUAAAAAGUCUGCUCCCCAAAUGCUCGGGUAGACUGAUUUGGGUAAUAAUAAAACUCCGGUCUCCCACACAGCCAGCCCUGCGUGAAUUACUCUUUCUUUUUUGAGAUGGAGUUUCACUUUCGUUGCCCAGGCUGGAGUGCAAUGGCAGGAUCUUGGCUCACAGCAUCCUCCGCCUCUCAGGUUCAAGCGAUUCUCCUGCCUCAGCCUCCCCAAUAGCUGGGAUUAUAGGCACGUGCCACCACGCCCGGCUAAUUUUUGGUAUUUUUAGUACAGACAGGGUUUCACUGUGUUGGCCAGGUUGGUCUCAAACUCCUGACCUUAGGUGAUUCACCUGCCUUGGCCUCCCAAAGUGCUGGGAUUACAGGUGUGAGCCACUGCACCCAGCCAAAUUACUCUUUCUCUAUUGCAAUUCCCCUGUUCUGAUGAAUCAGCUCUGUUUAGGCAGCAGGCAAGGAGAACCCCCUGGGCAUUAUACUUGGACAGAGGUGACAUCCCCCAGGUAGUGAGUGCAAAGAACUAAUGCUGCAGCUGUCUUCCAUGUAUCUGCCACUCACUGUAGAAUGACCCUGAAGUUCUGCAUUUCUGCUCUGUGUGGGUCAGGCACAAGAAGCUUCAUCUCUUAUCCCGUGUCUGAUUCCUGAAACCUUGCUCAUUUUCCUGCUGUCCUCCCUAUUCCCAGCCUCCUUUCUUCUUUCGCUUUAUCCUCCACUAAGGACAUUGAUUGCUUUCCUUUCUCUGUUGGUUCUCCCCACCCCUCAUUCCAUUGUGCCUUGUACCCAUACUGCCCACUACCUCCCUUUAUUGCUGUCAUCUGUCCUGGUGGCCAGUCACACUCAUGCCAACACUUACUUAUUCCUUGAAGGUUUUAGCUCCUGGCUCACUUUCCAACAUAACUCCUGUCAUCAGUUGACACCCAGUUCCCCAGUUCCUUGACCUAGGCCUUACGUACCCCAGCCACUCACUUCCCUGGUCUAAGUCUAGAUCUUGUCAUUGCUGAUGCCAUAACGCCAUCCACCAUCCACUUCCAGGGUCACACUCUCCAAUCACCUUCUACCACCCCUCCCUCUGUUACUCUGUGGUACAUGUUACUCCACUUCCCCACUGCCCAUCCCCUUUCAUGUUUCUUUCCUCUUUAAUUCUUACACCUCUUUUUUUUUUUUUUUUUUUUUGAGAGAGUCUCAAUCUGUCACCCAGGCUGCAGUGCAGUGGCACAAUCCUCUCACUGCAACCUCCGCCUCUCAGAUUCAAGCGAUUCUCCUGCCUCAGCCUCCUGAGUAGCUGGGAUUAUAGGCAUGCACCACCAUGCCCGGCUAAUUUUUGUAUUUUUAGUAGAGACACAGUUUCACUAUGUUGGCCAGGCUGGUCUCAAACUCCUGACCUCAUGAUCCGCCCGCCUCGGCCUCCCAAAGUGCUGGGAUUAAGGCAUAAGCCACCGUGCCUGGCCUCUUGAAGACUCUUAAGUCAUUUUUGGGAAUCAAUGAAUUAACUACAGAAGAUUUCCCAGGAUGAUGAAAUAGCAAAUCAUUUCAAGAUGCAGAAGAAGUAAGACCGCUAAGAUCCCACAAUAUGUCUUGGAUUUUUGGAAAGAGAAAAGCAGAACCAGAAGUGGGUCUGGGAUUCACAGCCAGGCCAUACCCCAUGUCCUGGCUAAUAGGAUCGACUGCUGCUACUUUAGCCAAUUACGGCUUUGGCCUUCCUCUACUCUUCCCUCCUUCUUGGUGAAAUUUGUUAAGAUCCUCAAUCAUAGAAUUACCCCCACUUCCUGAGAGCAUCCCAGAGAAAGGACUCCUCAAACCACCUAACACAUGCCCAAAUCCUGUAAUAAACCAUCCCUGACACCCUCUUACUUAUUUGCCCCACAGUUCCCCGUGGCAUGCAAAACGUUCUCCCUCAAAGCUAACUCAUGUCAUGACAGGUGUGUUCCUGGUGGCCUUUGGCUGGAUGGUGCUGACAGGUUAUAAGAGGGCCUACCAAUAGAUCUAUAUGGUCAUUGCAAGACAUAAUGAGUUUUAUUCUGUUUAAAAAGGGAAGAAAACGGUAGAGCAUGGUGGCUCACGCAUGUAAUCCCAGCACUUUGAGAGGUAGAGGUGGGCAGAUCACUUGAUGUCAGGCGUUUGAGGCCAGUCUGGCCAACAUGGUGAAAUCCUGUCUCUACUGGAAAUGUUGCAGGAUUCAGGAGGACGAGAGAGACCUCAGGUUGAAACUAGAAUCUUUAUUGAGUGCACUCAGGCCCAGCUGACUCAACGUCCAAAAGACUGGGCCCGGAACAAAGACAGCAUCUGACUUUUAUACAUACUUCACAGAAGGUGGUGGGCUAGCUUGAAGCAAGCUUACAGUGGUGUGAAAAGCAGCAAUACAGAGGCAGGACAAAGACAGGAUUGCACAUGACUGUUGCCAAGUAACCCAGAUGUCCGUUAUCUAGGUUUGUCUGGGCAUGGGCUUAUCCUAUAACCUUCACUAUGGUGCCCAGGCAGCUGUAGUUCAGGCCUACUCAGGCUUCUCAUGACCUUCGUUGUACUUCUUAGAUAAAACAGAAUAUUUGAAGUCACUGGUUACAUGUAGGCGGAAACCUACCCAGGUGCUGAGGCAAGAGACUGAGGGCACAACCUGUUCCAAUAUAGUAAAGAAAAUAGUUAGAAUAAGAAAAGUUAUAUUAGAAGUAGGAAAUAGAGCUGGAUGCAGUGGCUCCCAGCACUUUGGGAGGCCAAGGUGGGCGGAUCACGAGGUCAGGAGAUUGAGACCAUCCUGGCUAACAGGGUGAAACCCUGUCUCUACUAAAAAUACAAAAACAAAAAAUUAGCUAGGCAUGGUGGCAGGCGCCUGUAGUCCCAGCUACUCAGGAGGCUGAGGCGAGAGAAUGGUAUGAAUCCAGGAGGUGGAGCUUGCAGUGAGCUGAGAUCACGCCACUGCACUCCAGCCUGGGCGACAGAGUGAAACUCCAUGUCAAAAAAAAAAAAAAAAAGAAAAAGAAAUAGGAUAUAGAGAUGAUUAUAUAUGGAUAUUAUCAAUCAUUAGUUUUUAGUAUUAAUCUCUGUAUUAUUAUUAUAACCGAGGAAAGACCAGCCAAUACAGAGUCAGGAGCUGAAGGGACAUUGUGAGAAGUGAGCAGAAGAUAAGAGUGAAAGUCCUCUAUCACAUCCUGAUAAAGGCCGCUUGAGGACACCUUGGUCUAGCGGUAGCGCCAGUGCCUGGGAAGGCACCCGUUACUUAGCGGACCGGGAAAGGGAGUUUCCCUUUCCUUGGGGGAAGUUAGAGAACACUCUGCUCCACCAGCUCUAGUGGGAGGUCUGACAUUAUCCAGCCCUGCUCGCAGUCAUCUGGAGGACUAAACCCCUCCCUGUGGUGCUGUGCUUCAGUGGCCACGCUCCUUUCCACUUUCAUGUUCUGCCUGUACACCUGGUUCCUCUUUUAAGUUCCUAGAAGAUAGCAGUAGCAGAAUUAGUGAAAGUAUUAAAGUCUUUGAUCUCUCUGAUAAGUGCAUAGAAAAAAUGCUGACAUAUGUGGUCCUCUCUCUGCUUCUGCUACCACAAAGAAGACCCCCAUGUGAUUUGCUUGACCUUAUCAAUCACUUGGGAUGACUCACUCUCCUUACCCUGCCCCCUUGCCUUGUAUACAAUAAAUAGCAGCACCUUCAGGCAUUCGGGGCCACUACUGGACUCCGUGCAUUGAUGGUAGUGGCCCCCUGGGCCCAGCUGUCUUUCCUACUAUCUCUUAGUCUCGUGUCAUAUUUUUCUACCGUCUCUCGUCUCUGCACACGAAGAGAACAACCCGCAAGGCCCAGUAGGGCUGGACCCUACAGUUACAGAGAACAGGAAUCUAUAAACUCAUUCCAUAAAACAAAGGAAAAUUUGUUUUUCUUCUCCUUAUGUUGAGGGAUUGCUGAGAGAGUCUCCAGAGCACAUUAGAUAAUAUUAUCAAGACUUUUCCUGGGUCUGGGCUGUGCCCGUUGCUGCCUCUGGGACAAGUCGGCCUAAUACAUGAAAAUUUAUUUCUCUUUCUUUUUAAUUUUAUUUUUCUUUAAUUUCCCACCUUAAAACCACAAAAAUUAGCCGGGCAUGGUGGUGCAUGCCUGUAAACCCAGCCACUUGGGAGGCUGAGGUGGGAGAAUCUCUUGAAACCUGGAGGCAGAGGCCGCAGUGAGUCAAGAUCGUGCCACUGCAUUUCAGCCUGAGCAACAGAGUGAGACUCCAUCUCAAAAAAAAAAAAGCGGGGGGGAGGAGAGGGGGGGAAGAAAGAAACUUAUUUAUUUCAUUGGAAGACCUGUAAAAGAACAAAGGUCAUGAAAUAUCAGUAUGUACAUCUAGAAUUGCUCCAAAAAGAAACGGAAAUGAAUGGGGGCUCGGGGUGGGAAGAAGAAUGGAUUAGUCAGCUAUAACUUUGGGUCCAAGGGACCCUGGUGGUAUAGUGGGGGUUAACUUUGCAAUCACUGACUCAGGUGAGCCUCUUAGUGUUGAGAAGUGAAAUCAUCCUGUUUCCCUAAUGUAUAGAUCUUACAUUUUCCAG
rnacentral:lncRNA from 1 species